CACCGCGGUUAUACGAGAGGCCCAAGUUGAUAAGCGACGGCGUAAAGAGUGGUUAAGAUAAGUUUAAACUAAAGCCAAACGUCUCCAAAGCUGUUAUACGCACCCGAAGAACAGAAGACCUACCACGAAAGUGACUUUAACCCAUCUGACCCCACGAAAGCUACAUAA
rnacentral:rRNA from 1 species